rnacentral:rRNA from 1 species
GGAUUAGAUACCCUGGUAGUCCACGCAGUAAACGAUGAAUACUAGCUGUAUGCGAUAUACUGUAUGUGGCAAAGCGAAAGCGUUAAGUAUUCCACCUGGGGAGUACGUUCGCAAGAAUGAAACUCAAAGGAAUUGACGGGGGCCCGCACAAGCGGAGGAACAUGUGGUUUAAUUCGAUGAUACGCGAGGAACCUUACCCGGGCUUGAAAUGCAGAGGAAUGACUUGGAAACAGGUCCGCCAGCAAUGGUCUCUGUGUAGGUGCUGCAUGGUUGUCGUCAGCUCGUGCCG